rnacentral:tRNA from 1 species
GCCCUAGUGGUGUAAUGGUUAAGCUCUCAGCUGCUAACUGAAAGGUUGGCGGUUUGAAUCCACCCUGCGGCU